rnacentral:rRNA from 1 species
GUGGGGAAUCUUGCACAAUGGGCGAAAGCCUGACGCAGCCAUGCCGCGUGAAUGAUGAAGGUCUUAGGAUUGUAAAAUUCUUUCACCGGGGACGAUAAUGACGGUACCCGGAGAAGAAGCCCCGGCUAACUUCGUGCCAGCAGCCGCGGUAAUACGAAGGGGGCUAGCGUUGCUCGGAAUUACUGGGCGUAAAGGGCGCGUAGGCGGACAGUUUAGUCAGAGGUGAAAGCCCAGGGCUCAACCUUGGAAUUGCCUUUGAUACUGGCUGUCUUGAGUACGGGAGAGGUGAGUGGAACUCCGAGUGUAGAGGUGAAAUUCGUAGAUAGUCGGAAGAACACCAGUGGCGAAGGCGACUCACUGGCCCGUUACUGACGCUGAGGCGCGAAAGCGUGGGGAGCAAACAGGAUUAGAAACCCCGGUAGUCC